rnacentral:rRNA from 1 species
AGAGUUUGAUCCUGGCUCAGAUUGAACGCUGGCGGCAGGCCUAACACGUGCAAGUCGAGCGGAAACGAGUUAUCUGAACCUUCGGGGAACGAUAACGGCGUCGAGCGGCGGACGGGUGAGUAAUGCCUAGGAAAUUGCCCUGAUGUGGGGGAUAACCAUUGGAAACGAUGGCUAAUACCGCAUAACACCUACGGGUCAAAGAGGGGGACCUUCGGGCCUCUCGCGUCAGGAUAUGCCUAGGUGGGAUUAGCUAGUUGGUGAGGUAAUGGCUCACCAAGGCGACGAUCCCUAGCUGGUCUGAGAGGAUGAUCAGCCACACUGGAACUGAGACACGGUCCAGACUCCUACGGGAGGCAGCAGUGGGGAAUAUUGCACAAUGGGCGCAAGCCUGAUGCAGCCAUGCCGCGUGUGUGAAGAAGGCCUUCGGGUUGUAAAGCACUUUCAGUCGUGAGGAAGGUAGUGUAGUUAAUAGCUGCAUUAUUUGACGUUAGCGACAGAAGAAGCACCGGGUAACUCCGUGCCAGCAGCCGCGGUAAU